CAGUAGCCGCGGUAAUACGUAGGUGGCAAGCGUUGUCCGGAAUUAUUGGGCGUAAAGGGCUCGCAGGCGGCUUCUUAAGUCUGAUGUGAAAGCCCCCGGCUCAACCGGGGAGGGUCAUUGGAAACUGGGAAACUUGAGUGCAGAAGAGGAGAGUGGAAUUCCACGUGUAGUGGUGAAAUGCGUAGAGAUGUGGAGGAACACCAGUGGCGAAGGCGACUCUCUGGUCUGUAACUGACGCUGAGGAGCGAAAGCGUGGGGAGCGAACAGGAUUAGAUACCCCAGUAGUCCCUGUCUCUUAUAC
rnacentral:rRNA from 1 species